rnacentral:lncRNA from 1 species
UUUAUUUUACGUAUUAACAUAAUAAUUUCACAGGUUUGUACGAAAUUAUUCCAUUUCGUGACGAGAAUUCGAACCGGACUACAAAUUUUUUUUUAUUUGUUUACAUAAUUUGUUAGACAAAGAUAUUCAGAAUACAUAUCGGGUUUUCAGAUAUUGAUUUUUUGGAUUUUAAAAUUAGUCGGAUAUAAUAAAUUUUCUGGACGGAGUUCCAAUCGGAUUUUUACAGGUCCAUGCAGGUUCAUAAGAACCUAAUAUUAGACAAAUAACUCAUAUGUUUUAAAAAUUACAAAUAAUUUAUAAGUUGCUAAAAAAAACAAUUUAUAAAAAAGUAAAAACUAACAUCUGCGUGGAUCAAGCAAACAAAACAGAUUACACAACGCAGCGUGAAGUGCGGCAUUUAUACCAUCGAGAAUUCGAGAUAACUUGCGCACACAAUUGCAAUUAGGAUUACAAAAAAAAAAACUCGCUCUCUCUACGAAAAAAAAAGAAGAAGGUUUCUUUAACCUAGAUCUCGUUCGCCGGCAGCAGCAUCUGCUGUUUUCGUCGCUGCUGCCGGCCCCCACCCCUUUGUUUGAUUUGUUCUUUCCUUUUGUUGCUCCAUUUGUAUCUUCUUCCUGUCCGAUAUGCUUGAGCCCUGUUCUCAGUUUGGAAUGGUGUUUCGGUGAGGCUGGGUUAGAGGAAGUGGUGGCUGUGGCACGGAAUCGGGAGAUCUAUCUUUAGCUGCUCAGUUCCGGUGGUAUUUGGUUAGAUCUGGUUCACUUUUGGUGGUUCAAGGCGUUUGGGGACUGCGUCUCUGUUCUCUGGUGGCUUUCAGACGAAAUCGGUUCCUUUUGGACAGUUUUGCGAGCGAUAAAGUAGAUCUCGGAUGGGGUGGGAAUGGGUCUGUCGAUGGUUUCAGUUCAGGGUCGGAGUUUCAGGGAAAGUGGCUAGUUUCUGCUGUAGAUUCCGAUUCAGAUCUGGGCCUCUGGCUCAGUGUGGUGGAGAAAGCUGGCAGUGGUGUGCUGGUGUCUUUCUAUUUCGCCUGAUGGCUGCGGGGUUGGAGUUCUCUAUCUGGUGGUGGAGGCGCGUGAAGCUCUCUCUCGGUGCACUAGGAGAGCUUGUGGCGGCGCGUUAUAAUCUUCUUGUUUGUGGAUGUCACCUGUCUCCUUUGUGGUAUCUCGUAGACUGGAGGAUGCUCUGACUUCUUCGCUUGCUCGACAGUGUGGCGCUCUGAACCUCUCCUGUCCUUUCCGAAUAAGAGCAACAGCUGGUGUUAUGUAAACUUCCAGGAGUUCUUGACGUAGAACGACAUUUUUUUUUCAACUGGCGUCUUGGGGAGCAGCAAUUCUUUCUCAAGUGGAGGGUCUCGAUGGAUGAGUUGUCUUCUCGUCUGGCUGUGCGGAGUCGCUAUCCGUGCGGCACAGGCUUAGGCUAGAUCGGAUCAGCUGAGGCAUUCCGCUGCUCCUUUAUCCUCAGCCUCCAGUUUCGAUUGGGAUGGGUCGUCUUCUCCGAAUGCAUCCGUUUGAGUCUUCAUAAAGGGUCGAUGUUGUGUGCACUGAUUUUGCAGGAUAGUUGAGGUGUGCUCUCGAUGAAGCUGUAGGAGCGGAGUGGUUUUGAGGACUGACCAUCUCUGUAGCUCGCGGCGACUUAGAAGCCCACCAAUGCGAUUCCGACUCUUUGGUUCAUAGCUUUUCAAGACAAAGGGCGAGGUGAUGGCAAUCUCGUUUUGCUUCUUUCUAUGGUUUCCUCAUCAUCUGUUGCGUUUUACAUUUUUAGUUUUUUCACUGCUGUUUAGUUUUUAAAUGUUUCUGCUACUAGUUUCUUUGUAACUUCUGUCAAAAAGUUAAAAAUUGGUAUAAAAUUUAACAUUUACACAAAAAAAAAAAAAAAAAUUAGGAUUACAAAAAGUUGGGUUUAGAAUAAAAGCUGGGUUAAUAUAUUUUUGUCAUAUGCGAUCACUUUUUUUUUUCGAAUUCUCCCUAUAAUCAGAAUAACAAAAAUUAAUAUAUAAUUUAUAGGAGAGUUUUUUUUUCGGGUCAAAAAUUUAUAUAGAGAGUUAUUGUGGAGAAAAAGAUAAUGGACUAAGUUCAAAAAAAAAAAAGAUAAUGGACUAAAUUGGGUAACAAUUGCGUGCGUAGAGCCG